rnacentral:rRNA from 1 species
AGAGUUUGAUCAUGGCUCAGGACGAACGCUGGCGGCGUGCCUAAUACAUGCAAGUCGAACGAGAGUUUUUUACACCGAGUGCUUGCACUCACCGUAAGAAAUUCGAGUGGCGGACGAGUGAGUAACACGUGGGUAACCUGCCCAAAAGAAGGGGAUAACAUUUGGAAACAAAUGCUAAUACCGUAUAACCAUGAUGACCGCAUGGCCAUUAUGUAAAAGGUGGUUUUGCUAUCGCUUUUGGAUGGACCCGCGGCGUAUUAACUAGUUGGUAGGGUAACGGCCUACCAAGGUGAUGAUACGUAGCCGAGUUGAGAGACUGAUCGGCCACAAUGGGACUGAGACACGGCCCAUACUCCUACGGGAGGCAGCAGUAGGGAAUCUUCCACAAUGGGCGCAAGCCUGAUGGAGCAACGCCGCGUGAAUGAAGAAGGUCUUCGGAUCGUAAAAUUCUGUUGUUAGAGAAGAAUAUGAGUAAUAGUAACUGAUUAUUCACUGACGGUAUCUAACCAGCAAGUCACGGCUAACUGCGUGCCAGCAGCCGCGGUAAUACGUAGGUGGCAAGCGUUGUCCGGAUUUAUUGGGCGUAAAGGGAACGCAGGCGGUUUUUUAAGUCUGAUGUGAAAGCCUUCGGCUUAACCGGAGAUGUGCAUUGGAAACUGGAAGACUUGAGUGCAGAAGAGGAGAGUGGAACUCCAUGUGUAGCGGUGAAAUGCGUAGAUAUAUGGAAGAACACCAGUGGCGAAAGCGGCUCUCUGGUCUGUAACUGACGCUGAGGUUCGAAAGCAUGGGUAGCGGACAGGAUUAGAUACCCUGGUA